AUGCACUUGGAAAGCUGCAUGUAGCUUCUGAAGCUGAUAAGAUCAGUGAGUGAGUGAGUUUACAGUUGCAGGUCAUGGGCUAGGCUAAGCUAACAACAAAGGAAAGAUGUUUGCAAAACCCUUUUCAAACACACCAACGCGCCGCCUUUCCUGACCUCUCACUGUCUAAAGAAACCCUAACAAAGGCACUAGGCAUGCAAGAUCGAUCAUGGAUUUGAUCUGUCGCUGCUACAACUGGUCUAAAAGUGCUUAUCCGGCCGCCCGGCGCGCGCUUUGCGGCGAUGGAUGGAUGGAUCAUCGUCCUGAGCAAUUAAGAAUCUAUCUCCACGAAAAUGAGGAAAAUAUUACACUAUCUGCUAGCAUUACAUUGCCUAGUGAUGAGGAGGAGGAAUCGAUGAAGUAACUAGCUAGCGAGUAACAUUGAUCCGUACCAGGGCAUGGUGCGUGCAUAGCAUGGAAGGGCGAUUGGUGGAAUGGA
rnacentral:lncRNA from 1 species